rnacentral:rRNA from 1 species
GCUUGUCUCAAAGAUUAAGCCAUGCAUGUCUAAGUAUAAAUGGUAUACAGUGAAACUGCGAAUGGCUCAUUAAAACAGUUAUAGUUUAUUUGGUAUUCGAAUUUACAUGGAUAACCGUGGUAAUUCUAGAGCUAAUACAUGCAUUACGCCUGACUUUUCGGAAGGGCAGUAUUUAUUAGAUAACAGACCAUCUCCCCCAAAGGAAAUGUGGUGAAUCAUAGUAACUAAUCGGAUCGCAUGGGCUUUGCCCGCGACAAACCAUUCAAGUUUCUGCCCCAUCAGCUUUCGAUGGUACGGUAUUGGCCUACCAUGGUUACCACGGGUAACGGGGAAUUAGGGUUCGGUUCCGGAGAGGGGGCCUGAGAAAUGGCCACCACAUCCAAGGAAGGCAGCAGG